rnacentral:rRNA from 1 species
UACGAAGGGGGCUAGCGUUGUUCGGAAUUACUGGGCGUAAAGCGCGCGCAGGCGGUCUUCCAAGUCAGUGGUGAAAGCCUGGAGCUCAACUCCAGAACUGCCAUUGAAACUGUGAGACUUGAGUACGAGAGAGGUGAGUGGAAUUCCCAGUGUAGAGGUGAAAUUCGUAGAUAUUGGGAAGAACACCAGUGGCGAAGGCGGCUCACUGGUCCGGUACUGACGCUGAGGUGCGAAAGCGUGGGGAGCAAACAGG